ACGAAGGGGGCUAGCGUUGUUCGGAAUUACUGGGCGUAAAGGGCGCGUAGGCGGUUUGUUAAGUCAGGCGUGAAAGCCCUGGGCUCAACCUGGGAUGUGCGCUUGAUACUGGCAAGCUUGAGUGCAGGAGAGGAUGGUGGAAUUCCCAGUGUAGAGGUGAAAUUCGUAGAUAUUGGGAAGAACACCGGUGGCGAAGGCGGCCAUCUGGACUGCAACUGACGCUGAGGCGCGAAAGCGUGGGGAGCAAACAGG
rnacentral:rRNA from 1 species